rnacentral:lncRNA from 10 species
CCGAUUUGCAACUUUUAUUGAAAUAAAUGUCAUCUACUAAAAACAAGGUUAAUUUUUAAUAGAUCUUCUGUAUGGCAUGGACAGCUUCUAGUGGGAAUUAGUAUAUAGUCUGUUCUUGAUGAAGACAACACUAGACAGAUGUUGCCUGAUGCCUGGAUAAUGCUGAAUGUGACAAAACCAGCGAGACACAUUAAGAUAUUUCUCCUUUUCUUGAACUGUCAGGUCAACCUAAGUAGAGAUUAAAAACAUACACACACAACACAGAUGUUACAUAAGCACAACUGUUAAUAUCACUUAAGUAGGAGAUAGAAGUUGAAAAACAACAACAUCAAUCCCCCAAGAGCUCUCAAAAGCCAACAUAUUCAGAUAGGAGUAAAAGUUUCAGCCCAGUGAACACUGACUUAUAAAGGUUCUUCGUGUUCAAUGUUAUGUUCAGUACAAAACCUGAUGUCCUUCCUGCGAAAUACCAAGUUUUCAACAAAUGCAAAAUUUACAUUAACUGAGGAUUUGGAGGUCAAAUAAUUUGUUUUUUACUUCAUUGGAAAGGAAGAUAGAUUAAGAUACAGUUCUUUCUCUGGUAUUCUUUAGUAAACCUAAAAAAAGGAAAUGAUCCAUUUCAAGUCAAUAUUGCUUAAUAUAAGGAGGGGCUACUUCCAGUGGUGUGUGACUCAGAUGAAGGAGGCUGAGUAAAUGCAUGAGAACAGACCUUCAUAAUUCUGUUUGCAAUAAAGCUGAACUCAAUCUUUUAGUGAAUGGAGCAGUUCACCCAAUUUGCUAUCAAGCUACAAGAAUGCUCAGAGAUUUGGUUAGAGAGAGACGUGAUACAAACUGCAGGUGCUUAUCAUUUCACUGGGCUCAAAUUCCAAAAUAGGUGACUCAAAGACUUUUCUCUAAGAUAAACUUUAGAAUUAUUGAGAGUUAUCAGGUAAAGAGAAAACCAGUAGGGCAGUAACUUGCAGCCAUGACCCCAUGAAUGGGUGGUGUCGUUCCUUCUCCUAAGUCACAUUUACUUAACAGAUAGUGCAAGUCUCUAUAAUGCUGACAGGAGUGUUUGCAGAAAGAAAUAACUCAGCCACCCUACAAGCGCUACAAACCCCCCAGCAGCCUGCUUGUUGGGAGACAUUUUUAGUGAGAUGAAUGUCCUUUGCUUUUCAGCAUUUAGCACAUACCUGUUCUGCAGACAAGCAUUCUGCUAAGUUACCAGAUCACCAAAGGUGAAGGAUAAAUCACUCCACAUGCAGUAAUUAUUACAGAAUACAAAAGGAUAUUAACAAUAAAAUUAAAAAGUAGGCAGUAUUUUCUCAUUAAAUGUUUAUUUGGACUCGUAUUUGUUGGCUUGAUUUACUUAAGUUGUUACCAGGGAGAAUCUUCACUGCUUCUGUUUCAGAAAAAUUUAAGUUUCAGGUUUUAGUGAUACAUACUUAAGUCCUACACACAAGCUGCUCUAGCACAUUAUAAAAACAUAUUCAUCUUGUUUAAGGUUGUGUCUACUUAGAAAGAUGUUACUACAACUGUCUCACCUAUAACAUAGUCAGUCCAUGGCACAGAGAUAAAUAACACAUCAGUCAAGAAAACUGGUCAAGUAUGUCUUUUUUAACGUAAAAGUUUAAUUUUUAUUAUGAAAAUUCAUGGUUUCACAUGAAAGAAUUACAUUAGGCUAACUGGUAGAUUCAAACUGAAAGGAGCAUCUACCUGUCAGGUGUGUUUUCAUAGGCAGCACUUAAUCUGUGGAAUAAACUGAGCAUCAGUCUAUAUUUCAAAAAUAUUUUGAAAAAUAUUUUGUAAAAGAGCAUUUUGUUCUUUUUCUAAAUCUUUACCAUAUAUAAACCUCAGCAAGGACUUCAAAAGAAAAUGUACGAUUUAUUAAAAGCUCAACCAGUAAUAAAAAGAGCUGCAAAUCUAACAAGAAAUGGGAGCUUUCUUACCAAAAAUGAAUAAAUGAAUGAAUAAAAUUCAAAAUCAACUUCGACAAAUCUCUUUGCUGAUAGUUAAAGCAAACAGAUGUAACAAUAAGUUUUACUCCAACUUGAUUUCAUGUCAGCUGCUGAAAUAUAUGAUGAUUCAAAUCUGACCUCUUUCUUACCAUUUUAGUCCUUUCAUCGCUCUUUCAUUUCAGAUAAUUCUCCACUCAGCCAUUUGGUAAAGCAUUUCCAAACAAUAGAGUACUAAUGCUUGUUUAUGUUCAAGUUGUUCACCCAGAUUUUAAACUAGGUAAAAAGGGCAAUGUUAUGUGUGAUAUUUGUAUUUCAGAACAGCAUUUGGUGUCACUGAGGACUAGUAUAAGUUGCUUACAGGCCUAUUAUUUAAAGAAAUACUAACAUACAGAACACAGCAAAAUAAAUAUUCUCCAACUUAAACAUUUUACAUUUGGAGUCUCUAGAGUCAGGAUUAUCAACAGACUCACAGUAAAAAAUAGUUUUUAUUCCAAGAGCUCCUAAAGCUUCUAAAAAUUCCUAAUUUAUUCCAAUGAUUUAUUUAUUAUUAUUAUUUUUUGAGACAGAGUCUUACUCUGUUGCCCAGACUGGAGGGCAGUGGCGCGAUCUGGGCUCACUGCAACCUCCACUUCCUGGGUUCAAGCGAUUCUCCUGCCUCAGCCUCCUGAGUAGCUGGGACUACAGUCACAUACCACCACACCUGGCUAAUUUUUUGUACUUUUAGUAGAGACGUGGUUUUGCCAUGUUGGCCAGGCUGGUCUCGAACUCCUGGCCUCAAGUGAUCCACCAGCCUCGGUCUCCCAAAGUGCCUGGAUUACAGGCAUGAGCCACUGCACCCAACCCCCUAUUCUAAUAAUUUUUAACUAGAUGAUCCAUUUGACAAUAUUUUUAGAUGAUCUAUUUUAAGAAUGUACAUUUAUUCAUUUUUCCCUCAGGAAACUUUUGCCAGAAACUCACAGAGUUUUUCAAAAAGGAUGAGGUUACGGUUACCACUUUCACCUCUUUUUACAGUUUAAACUUUGGAACUUGUCCCUUUGAGUCUGAGAUAAUUAUGAAUGACCUUGACUUGUUAACUCUGCUACUUUUUUGGAAGACAUUCCCUAUAUAAACUUACUGUAAACAAAGAAAUGAACAGAUUUCUCCCCUCACCAAAUUUACAGAUUUUAAAAACAUUUCUGAUGGGAUCUCCCAGACUAUUUCACUUACAACACUGGUUUUCCACCAUCCCUUUCUAGCUCAAGUUCUUUUUCCUUUCUUACAACAGGAAACAAUGCAAUUGUUCUAGUUGCCAUUUCCUGCUUCAUGUUGAUCUGCAUGCCAGUGUGUCUAUAGUGGUGCUUGGCUCUUUCUGCCUAAUAAUUCCUUUUAAUUUAUAUUGGCACUCUAUCAUGACUUUGAACUUUAAAGCCAAGCAGAUAAUAUUCUGAAUCACUAAUUUUCCAUGAAGUCAUGUGAGAAACACUUUAAGUGAACCGUUCCGGAUCAGGGUGACACGCUGCUUUGCUACCUUUCCAACUGGCACCACGUUGCCGCCUUUGGGACAUUCUUUAGGGCCAGUGCUCCUGGACUAUUUUGCAGUUAAUUCUUUUAUUUUUCCUUUCCUUAUAAAAGAACCACAUGCCUCCAAUGGUGCUCCAAACUUCAGAACAAAAGUAUUUCAGUUGAUAGCAAUCUUACAGUCAAGCAGCACAUAAUAUUACAAAGGAUUUUAAUAAUCUUGAGUAACAGUCUGUUCACAGGGAUGACUAUCUCCUAGUGAAAUCACUUUAAGAAAGCAGUGAGUCACUGGUGUUAUAAUAAACAGCCACACUAACAGGCAGUAUAACAAAGGAAAGGCAACAUAAUAUUCCUCAAACGGAGUUAAGAUAGACCAGAUCUUAGAAUAACUCAGCCAUGACUAAAAUUGGGCUCACAAUGAAACAAAAUACAGUGGAAUUAUCUGAUGACUCGAAGGUUCCUUGACUGCUGUUUUGUACACUGUGCUGAUUACAUAUUCCGUAUUGAAUAACGUGAACAAACAAAUUAAGGAAUGCACGAGGACAAAAAUAAAUAAUAUUGCCAAAGCAAACAAAGCACGAAGACCUGGUAAAUAUCAGCAGGUGGCCAAUCUGCACCUCACACCCACCCUACCUUAACACCUAGAAAUCAUUUAUUCCACAUCUGUAUGUAUUUGUACCCAACUUAACUGGAAUGUCAUUUAACACCACAGUGCAAUUCUGCCAUUGUGUAGGUUUUAGUCUGUGAGGCCUGUUCCUUGAGAAGGUGUUUAUUUCUCUGAUUACUUUGCCUGCACUUGGACUAGAGUGGGAGAGAUACUUUGACUCAUGAUAGGAACCCAAAAGGAUGGUCAACAGUGAUUUACAUAUUAAUCUAUUCAAUUUCACUUUGAAAAAGAUAAGGAUAUCUUUAAUCAUAACAUCCUGGUCACUAUAUAUGAAGAUGACAUACAUUCCAAAAUACAAAAUGUAAACACAUACAGAAUGCUAAAUAUUAUUAAUGUAACCCUAACUUUAACAUGCUGUACUGAAUGAAACACUUCUAACCUGCCUAAAAACCAAGUACCCUCCAGUGCACUUAGACUCGUAAUUAAAUAACUUUGCAGCUAGUGCUAUGAAUAUUUUGCACUAUAGGAUUAUGACCUUAUUCAUUCUGCUGGCAAAGGAAUUCCAAACAAGUUCCCUCCUUUUCCGAGUAUUUCUUUUCCCUACUGCAAAACCUGCAUAAGCUAGAGGAAAAGAAAAUUUAAUUAAACACUUGGUUUAUGAGUUACACUUCAGUAUCAUCUUUUUUAUUUUUAAUUAGAUGUAGAAAUACUCUCCUUCUUAAUGACAGCCCGAUGCUACAGCAAGCAAGAUCUUGUGGGUCUGAACAGACGUUCACUAGCCUGCUGGCUGUCAUCACAAAGGACGACUGAUGAUAUUUUUCCUAAUAUAAAGCUUAAAAAGUUAAAUGUCAAACCAUAUGUCACAUUUAAAUAUAUAUUUCGUAAAAAGCCAACAAGUUUGUUAUUGUGGUUUUCAGAUAGAAAUUGUUCUUGGAGCCCUGUUGGGUAGCCAUGCUCACAGCAGCACAGUCUCACUAAAAUGAAGUACAGACUCCCUCAAGUUCAAAGACUGUGUUUAGGCUGCCACCAGGAGAGAGAUGCUUAGAUACCUUAGCAGCAAAUCCUCUUUACCUUGCAGGCUUUUUUUGUUUUGAAAUGAGGUAAGUUGUGCCUCAUGAUCAUUUUAAAUUCGAAAAGCUACUAAAACAUAUUGAACCUAGCAUGGAAUAAAAGAAGGUGGUAAUCAAUGUACUUCAGCUCCAAUAAACUUUCUCCACAUUUAAAUAACAUUACUUAUAUUACACUUUCACUACAGAGAUAAAAAAUCUGAAAUAGGAACUAUAAAUAGGUACCAGUUGUUAAAUAUUGCUUUUAUUUAUUUUUUUAAGACAGGUCUCACUCUGUUGCCCAGGCUGGAAUGCAGUGGUGCAAUCAUGACUCACUGUGGCCUUGACCUCCCUGGGCUCAGAAGAUCCUCCUACCUCAUUCCCCCAAGUAGCUGGGACUACAGUCACAGAGCUACCACGCCUGGUUAAUGGUUUUUUUUUUUUUUAAAUAGAGACGGGUUUUGCCCUGUUGCCUAGGCUGGUCUUGAACUCCUGGGCUCAAGCUAUCUACCUGCCUCAGCUUCCCAAAGUGCUGGGAUUACAGGCAUGAGCCAUCAUGCCCAGCCUUAAUAUUGCUAAUCUCAAUAAGCAUUUAGCUGCACAAGGCACUGUUUUAAAAGCCAAGAGGGGAUGAACAGAAAUAAGACAAAUCCUCUUUGGUCUCUUAUUUUGUGUAAAUUGAAUCAUAUUCUUUGUAAGUAUGGGGAAUAUUCAUUCUACUUCACUCCUGUUGUCCCAAUGUAAUUAUUAAUAGGCCUCCUUUCACAGCCAAGUGUUUUGGAUGAGAAAUCAUGUGGUCGCCCUAUUUACAAAGAAUAUUUGUAAUCAAACUUAUCAUAAGCUUUCCAAAACAAUGAAAAUUCCCUUAGACAGCCAAGGCCAUCCAAAUCUUCAGAUAUUUUUCUGACAAUUUUCUGAUUCUGUAUUCUACUUAUCUGCCUCAUGCAUUAAUAACAUAAUAUUCUGACCAGAGAUUAGCACUGGAUUCCAUUUUCUCUACUUCAUUAAUUGCUUUCAUGUAAAACAGUCUAAUUUCUUCAAUAAGAUUAAUAUGCCCCUGAAAAUAGUUUUAUACUUCUGUUGUCUCCCUCUCAAGUAUGGCAUAGUGGGCAUACACAGUGGGCUCUCAAUAAAUCAUUUAAAACUCAUAAUAGUUUUACAUUAAAUUAAGGAUCAUUCUAAGCCAUUACAAUAAUGUUACAGAAUUUAACAUAAUCACUGAGGGAUCUUUGAGGAACAAUUCAGAAUAAAGUCAAGUAAAUUCAAACUGAGGGAUUAUAGCUUGAGUAGGGAACUAAUAACUGUAUCCUGCAUUAUUACGGUACGUUUGCGGGGUGAGGGGAAACUAAAAGGAAUCCACUUCUAUGACUGUCAUGAAGCCCAGGAGUUCUGGAGGGAACUGCAUUCCAUUCUGAAUUUUCUGGUUACAAUCCCUGUCUUCUCUCUUCAACCUCAACUGAAAACCCAUACUCAAGAGGCCUCAAUCUGUGCCCUCUUAUUCUUGGCAAAUGGCAAAACCAACUAUGUAGGAGGCUUUUUCAGAGGAGAAAACGACUUUGUUUUUCCAAAAGACAAACCCUCCACUUUGCUUUAUGAGGCAGAUAGCAGCCCCAAACCAUGGAUAGGUUGGGGCCUGCGCAGACCUCAAUUAUUACGGUAUUUUACAGUUUAUAAGACAAAGAGCUUCCCCACACAUUAAGACACUUCAGUCAGAAGAUCUGAAAGUUUGGCCCUUCCAAAAACUGAGCGCCGUGCCUUUAAACCACUCAAGUUUCCUAAGCAUUAGUUUCUUUCUCUGUAAAAGAAGGCCAAUAACACUGGUCCUAUUUCCUUCUUAGUGAUGAGGUACAGUGAGAAAGUAUAGAGGAAACUCCUUGAAAAGCAUAGAGAAAUACGUUUAAAAAUUUAUUCAGUGUUUAUGGAGGGGUGACCACCUACACAUGCCAGGAAUUACCUCAGACAAUGGUGUUACAAAUAUGUGUCGCUACAAUCAUUGAGUCAAACAGCUUAUAAUUUAGAGAGAUUUUCAAAGAAUUACAGUAAGAGUGAAAUGAGCUAGACCCGAAGUGUACAUGAGGUACAAACACACACAGAGGAAGGAGCACCUCAAUGUGGUUUAGGCGCCUGAGAGAGAUGCAGCCGAGGAAUGAGUGGGAACCGAGAGAUACUUGGGAAAUGCAAAUGAAGUGGAGAGGAAGGGAAGGGCUGGGACCAGGGAACAAAAGAGAAGAGUAAUGCAAGGAUGCUGGGUAGAAACAGCCCAGCAUACAGCAGGCUCUGGGGCACAUGUUGUGGCUGAGAGAAUGACGGGAAGGAGGAUAGCAAGGGAGGCAGGAGUCAGAUGAAUUAAGACAGGGUUUCACUCUUGUCGCCCAAGCUGGAGUGCCUUGGUGCGAUCUCUGCUCAGGGCAACCUCUUCCUCCUGGGUUCAAGCAAUUCUCCUGCCUCAGCCUCUGGAGUAGCUGGGAUUUCAGGCAUGCGCCACCACGCCUGGCUGAUUUUUGUAGUUUUACU